GAUGAACGCUGGCGGCGUGCCUAAUACAUGCAAGUCGAGCGAACAGACGAGGAGCUUGCUCCUCUGACGUUAGCGGCGGACGGGUGAGUAACACGUGGAUAACCUACCUAUAAGACUGGGAUAACUUCGGGAAACCGGAGCUAAUACCGGAUAAUAUAUUGAACCGCAUGGUUCAAUAGUGAAAGACGGUUUUGCUGUCACUUAUAGAUGGAUCCGCGCCGCAUUAGCUAGUUGGUAAGGUAACGGCUUACCAAGGCAACGAUGCGUAGCCGACCUGAGAGGGUGAUCGGCCACACUGGAACUGAGACACGGUCCAGACUCCUACGGGAAGCAGCAGUAGGGAAUCUUCCGCAAUGGGCGAAAGCCUGACGGAGCAACGCCGCGUGAGUAAUGAAGGUCUUCGGAUCGUAAAACUCUGUUAUUAGGGAAGAACAAAUGUGUAAGUAACUAUGCACGUCUUGACGGUACCUAAUCAGAAAGCCACGGCUAACUACGUG
rnacentral:rRNA from 1 species